UACGUAGGCAGCAAGCGUUGUUCGGAGUUACUGGGCGUAAAGAGUGUGUAGGCGGUUCUCUAAGUUUGGUGUGAAAUCUCCCGGCUUAACUGGGAGGGUGCGCCGAAAACUGGAGGGCUUGAGUAUGGGAGAGGAAAGCGGAAUUCCUGGUGUAGCGGUGAAAUGCGUAGAUAUCAGGAGGAACACCUGCGGUGUAGACGGCUUACUGGACCAUAACUGACGCUGAGGCACGAAAGCGUGGGUAGCAAACAGG
rnacentral:rRNA from 1 species